GAAUUGCUGCGAGAGGAAAGAACAAGCUGUGAUCUUUCAAGAUCACAAGCCUCCUUAACGGAAUAUGAUUAGAAACUUCACUUUAUUCUUCUUGGCUUCUUUUCUUUUUAGCAGCAAUGCACCUUCAAAUAGGCUAUGGACCUACUUGGAUUACUGAGGAACUGCUUGGGCACAAAAGAGUAAAAGAUAUGCAUAAGGAAUAUGCUAUCUGGAAGAUCUGAGAGCAGAGGCUGGCUCUAAUGAGAGUCCAUUAAUUCUGUGGACCAAGCAGUUCUUGGAAAAUGAGGAGAGCUACUUCAGUUUAUUUGCAGAGGCAUCCUGCUUUGGUUGAUUUAAAGUGCAAUCUUAUGGAUGUAAAGCUACAGGCCAGGCAAGCUGUCUGAAUAAUAAAAAUUGCUAGUGGCGUUCUUCUAUCCCAAGAUGCCAUACUUGGCACUACAAAACUCAACAUUCUGCAUCAAGAAGUAAACAGCUUUGAGGGUCAAGCAGUACAUAAAUUUUAUAAAAUAAAAUAAGAAGUGAUGGAUUCUGCUGGGGAUCAUAAUUUUUAUUGCUUUGUAUCCUCUCCUGGUCACAUAGGCGUUCUGAGGUUGUGCCAUCUUAUCCUCUAGGUCUGCCUCCCACAGCCUGGUGCUGUCCAGAUGUUUUGGGCUAUAAUUCCCAUCAGCCCUAGCCAGUAAUCAGGGACGACUGGAGUUGCUGUAGAUCAACUUCUGGAGGGCACCAGGUUGCAGAAGGCUAUUAUAGCGUGCAUGCCCUCAGCAGAAGCCAAAUGGCCAUGGAAGAAAUGGAUCGGGCAGUUUGCCAUCUCCUGUUAAUAGAAGGCUACUAGCAGAUGUCCUCUCUUCAUCAGAUCUGACUUGCCCUUCUGUAGAUGGGUUGACUGUGAGUAGAAAGGUGGACAGGCACAGGGCCUGGCACUCUUCAAUGCAGAGGAGAUGGUCUGGUGUGCAGAGGCCCAGAAGUGGAGAGAGAAGGGAAAGGGUUGGUCUCUGACAUCAUGCUUUAUGUGCCUCCAAAGUCCAGUGCAAGGUCUGACCCUCUUCUGGGCUCAAAAGAAGGGUAGAGAUUCUCCCUGACAUCGCACUGUGCAUUGGAGGCACUCUGAAGCUGCCAUCUUUGCUGUUUUCAAGCCUCUCAUUACUUGCCACAGUGUUGGGGAUGGGAUCCUGCCCCUCACUGAUAACCAUAGUUUCUAGCUUUGGAGAGACUAUAGUUCUCUGUCCUUGUGCCAGUGCUGAAAUUAUGUCUUAUUGCCACUGCAUGCUGGUGUACAGGAUCAAGCUGAAGACAAACUGUGCAACCAGGUUUAAGGUGGAUUCAAGGCCCUUUUUAUUUUUCCACUACUAAACUUAAAUCAUGCAACUUUGUGGUAUUUGGUGGCUUCAAUUUUUGUAUGCUCACAUGAAACUCCCAACUAAAACUUUAAAUCCCAAAAAGGUAACAGUCUCAAAAUUGGUGCAAGUAACUUUAUAAUUAACCAGCAACUGUCUUUUAACUUUACAUUAAGCACUAAUUUUUGUCUCUUCCUUUUGCAGUGCAUUUCUGACGUUAAAGCAGCUGCAGUUGCAGAACCCAGUCUGAAUCUGGCAGUGGGCUACAUACAUAUCUGCAGGAAUACAGUUUGUUAACUAAUAUCAACCGUGGCUGAAGGGAGGUUUUUGGCAAAAGUCACAUGUGGUUUCUACAUAGUGCAGAGGGAUUGGUUAAAUGUUGAAAAUGUAUUGCUAUGGGCAGAAGUAGCAUGUGUCUUCACUAAUUCUGUAUUUGGGGGAUUGUUGCCACCUUUGUGGAAGCAGUAGGGUGAAAAAUGGUUCUGGUGUGAUAUUAGUGAAAUUGACGGUGGUUGGGAUGUAGCAAUAGGAAUAAGGGGGUUUGGGGUAUGCUUGGUUUCCUGAGAGCUGCAGUCUGUUGGAAACCUUUCUAGAGGGGUUUGGACAAGGGAGCGUUCAAUGUACGAGCAUGAAGCUGAUCAUUUACCAGCAAAGGAUCACAGAGUGCUAGAUGCUUACUUAAAUUCAGUAAUAACUCACAGUGCCCUCCUACCUCUGACACAACUGUAUAAAUGGUCCAUUGUUGGCUUUCUGGGUAUAUCUAGGGGCAAGCAAUCAAGCCUCUGUCAAAUUUCUGGAAGUGGUAUGCACCAUGCCUUGCAGCUCGGCUCUUUGGCCAGGCUGAUCAAGAAAGUGUGUCAAAAUGAGUGUGGACAAGAGACUUCUUUUGUGAGCCUUUCAACCGAGGGAAUGUUCUCUUGCCUGUGAUAUUCUUCAGGUGCCUGUUAGAAGCUGCUUAGAGGGUUGCAUAAGCUCUCAAGUAGGCAUUUGUGCUCAAGUAUUUGACUAGCAAAUAUCCAGAAUUUUUUUUAUAAUAAAAUACUAGAAAAGCCUAGUUGUGUGAGAGAUUUUCUUUCGAUACAAUUCUUCUCAUACCCAGGAGGUGAUGUGCCAACACAGGGGUCUCCACUGAAAGAUAAUUGUCCACCUUGAAUUUCUUCAGAGUCUGUCAGGUUGCAAAGCUUUUUAAAAAAAAUAAACUUCUUGACAUUUGAAUUAC